CGGGCGCAGCCUCUCCGGGUACCUGAAGGGAGAUCGACCGUGUUCCAUUCGCUCCGCUGACUUCGAAUAAUAGAUGGUUGAUCUUUCCUCGGUAUCAAUUCUCACCCGGAGGGCAC
rnacentral:pre_miRNA from 14 species